rnacentral:rRNA from 1 species
AUUGAACGCUGGCGGAAUGCUUUACACAUGCAAGUCGAACGGCAGCACGGACUUCGGUCUGGUGGCGAGUGGCGAACGGGUGAGUAAUGUAUCGGAACGUGCCCAGUCGUGGGGGAUAACGUAGUGAAAAUUACGCUAAUACCGCAUACGAUCUAUGGAUGAAAGCGGGGGAUCGCAAGACCUCGCGCGAAUGGAGCGGCCGAUAUCAGAUUAGGUAGUUGGUGGGGUAAAGGCCCACCAAGCCAACGAUCGGUAGCUGGUCUGAGAGGACGACCAGCCACACUGGAACUGAGACACGGUCCAGACUCCUACGGGAGGCAGCAGUGGGGAAUUUUGGACAAUGGGCGAAAGCCUGAUCCAGCCAUUCCGCGUGCAGGAUGAAGACCCUCGGGUUGUAAACUGCUUUUGUACAGAACGAAAAGGUUUCUACUAAUACUAGGAGCUCAUGACGGUACUGUAAGAAUAAGCACCGGCUAACUACGUGCCAGCCGCCGCCGUAA